rnacentral:lncRNA from 1 species
GCCAGAGUGGCUCAUAGUGGCAGCCCACCGCGCUGCUCAGCCCUAUGGGCCCCGCCACCACUCAGGCGGCCCACCACCAGAGUGGGAAAAAGUGGCAGCCUGCCCCGCUGCUCGGCCCUGGGGGCGCCCCACCCAGUCUGGCGGCCGACUGCCAGAGUGGCUCAAAGUGGCAGCCCGCCGCACUGCUCAGCCCUCUGGGCCCCACCCCGACUCAGGCGGCCGACGGUCAGAGUGGGAAAAAGUGGCAUCCCGCCUCGCUGCUCAGUCCUGGCGGCCCCCGCACACCCCACUCAGGCGGACGACCGCCACAGUGCGUAAAAGUGGGAGUCCGCCACGCUGCUCAGACCUAUGGCUACGCCCCCCACUCAGGCGGCCGACCACCAGAGUGCGUAAAAGUGGCAGACCACUGCGCUGCUCAACCCAGGGGGCCUUCCACCCCACUCAAGCGCCCGACCGCCAGAGUGGGACAUAGUGGCAGCCCGCCGCGCUGCUCAGCCCUGGGGUCCCUCACGCCACUCAGGCGGCCGACCAAAAGAGUGGGUUAAAGUGGCAGCCCGCCGCGCUGCUCAGCCCUGGGGGCCCCACCUUGACUCAGGCGGCAGACCGCCAUAGUGGGUCAAAGGGGCAGCCCGAUGCGCUGCUCAGCCCUGGGGGCGCCCCACACACUCUGGUGUCCGACCGCCAGAGUGGCCCAAAUUGGCAGCCCGCAGCGCUGCUCAGCCCUGGGGUCCCUCACCCCACUCAGGCGGCCGACAGACAGAGUGGGUCAUAGUGGCAGCCCGCCGCGCAGCUCAGCCCUGGGGGUCCAACCCUGACUCAGGCGGCAGACCACCACAAUGGUGAAAGUGGCAGCCCGCUGCGCUGCCCAGCCCGGGCGGGCCCCCCUCUACUCAGGCGGCCGACAGCCAGACUGGGUCAAAGUGGCAGCCCGCCAUGCUGCUCACCCCUGGCGGCCACCGCCAACUCAGGCUGCCGACCACCAGAGUGGGUCAAAGUGGCAGCCCGCCGCGCUGCUCAGCCCUGGGGGCCCUUCCAACCCACUCAGGCGGCCGACCGAUAGAGUGGGAAAAAGUGGCAGCCUGUCGCGCUGCUCAGCCCUGGGGGGCCUCCACACCCACUCAGGCGAUGGACGGCCAGAGUGGGUCAAAGUGGCAGCCCGCCGCGCUGCUCAGCCAUGGGGGCCCUCCCUCACCACUCAGGCGGCCGAGGGACAGAGUGGUUCAAAGUGGCAGCCCACCACACUGCUCAGCCCUGGGGGCCCUCCCCACCCACUCAUGCUGCCGACCGUCAGAGUGGGUCAAAGUGGCAGCCCACCACACUGCUCUGCCCCUGGGGCCCUCCCCCACACUCGGGUGCCCAAACAGCAGAGUGGGUCAAAGCGGCAGCCCACCGCGCUGCUCAGCCCUGGCGGCCCUCCCCCUCCACUCAGGCGGCCGACCGCCAGAGUGGGUCAAAGUGGCAGCCCGCCGCGCAGCUCAGUCCGGGCGGGCCCCCCUCUACUCAGGCGGCCGACAGAAAGACUGGGUCAAAUUGGCAGCCCGCCGCACUGCUCAGCCCUGGAGGCCCCCCCCUCCCCACUCUGGCUGCCGACCACCAGAGUGGGUCAAUGUGGCAGCCCGCCGCGCAGCUCAGCCCUGGCUGCCCCACCCUGACUGAGGCGGCCGACCGCCAGAGUGGGUCAAAGUGGCAGCCCGCCGCGCAGCUCAGCCCUGGCUGCCCCACCCUGACUGAGGUGGCAGACCGCCAUAGUGGGUCAAAGUGGCAGCCCGCCGCGCAGCUCAGUCCGGGCGGGCCCCCCUCUACUCAGGCGGCCGACAGAAAGACUGGGUCAAAUUGGCAGCCCGCCUCGCAGCUCAGCCCUGGCUGCCCCACCCUGACUGAGGUGGCAGACCGCCAUAGUGGGUCAAAGGGGCAGCCCGCCACGCUGCUCAGCCCUGGGGGACCUCUCCACACUCAGGCGGCCGACCGCCAGAGUGGGUCAAAGUAGCUGCCCGCCGCGCUGCUCAGCCCUGGCUGCCCCACCCUGACUGAGGUGGCAGACCGCCAUAGUGGGUCAAAGGGGCAGCCCGCCACGCUGCUCAGCCCUAGGGGCGCCCCACACACUCUGGUGUCCGACUGCCAGAGUGGCCCAAAUUGGCAGCCCGCAGCGCUGCACAGCCCUGGGGGCCCUCCUCCCACUCAUGCGGCCGACCGCCAGUGUGGGUCAAAGUGGCAGCCCGCCGCGCUGCUCAGCCUUGGGGUCCCUCACCCCACUCAGGCGGCCGACAGACAGAGUGGGUCAUAGUGGCAGCCCGCCGCGCUGCUCAGCCCGGGCGGGCCCCUCUCUACUCAGAUGGCCGACAGCCAGACUGGGUCAAAGUGGCAGCCUGCCGCGCUGCUCAGACCUGGGGGACCCACCCCCACUCAGGCGGCGGACCACCAGAGUGGGUCAAAGUGGCAACCCGCAGCGCAGCUCAGCCCUGGGCGCCCCACCUUGUCUCAGGCGGCAGACCGCCAGUGUGGGUCAAAGUGGCAGCCCGCCGCGCUGCUCAGCCCUGGGGUCCCUCACCCCACUCAUGCGGCCGACAGCCAGAGUGGGUCAAAGUGGCAACCCGCCGCGCAGCUCAGCCCUGGGGGACACAACCUGACUCAGGUUGCAGACCGCCAGAGUGGGUCAAAGUGGCAGCCCGCCGCGCUGCUCAGCCCUGGUGGCCACACCCCACUCAGGCGGCCCACCGCCAGAGUGGGUCAAAGUGUUAGCACGCAUUGCUGCUCAGCCCCUGGGGACCUCCCCCACACUCAGGUGCCCAACCAGCAGAGUGGGACAAAGUGGCAGCCCACAGCGCUGCUCAGCCCUGGGGGCCCUCCCCCCACUCAGGCGGCCGACCGCCAGAGUGGGUCAAAGUGGCAGCCCGCCGGGCUGCUCAGCCCUGGGGGCCCUCUCCCCACUCAGGAGUCUGACCGCCAGAGUGGGUCAAAGUGGCAGCCCCACCCCCACUCAGGCGGCCGACAGCCAGAGAGGGUCAAAGAGGGAGCCCGCCGCGCUGCUCAGCCCCCCCAACAGUCAGGCGGGCGACGGCCAGAGUGGGUCAAAGUGGCAGUCCGCCACGAUGCUCAUCCCUGGGGGCCCUUUCCCCACCCAAGCGGCCGACCGCCAGAGUGGGUCUAAGUGGCAGCCCGCUGCGCUGCUCAGCCCUGGGGCCCCUCCCUCCCACUAAGGCGCCCCACCGCCAGAGUGGGUCAGAGUGGCAGCCCGCCGCGCUGCUCAGCCCUGGGGGCCCCACCCCCACUCAGGCGGCAAUCCGCCAGAGUGGGUCAAAGUGGCAGCCCUCCGAGGUGCUGAGCAUUGGCGGGCCCGACCCCCACUCAAGCGGCCCAUAGACAGAGUGGGAAAAAGUGGCAGCCCGCCGCGCUGCUCACCCCUGGCGGCCACCGCCAACUCAGGUGGCCCACCGCCAGAGUGGUCAAACUGGCAGCCUGCCGCGCUGCUCAGCACUGGGGACCCCACUCCCACUCAGGCGGCCGACCGCCCGAGUGGGUCAAAGUCGCAGCCCGCAGCACUGCUCAGCCCUGGGGGCGCCCC